GAAAAUAACAUUUACAUCAGCAUGACUCUUACAUCAGUAAUUUAUGUUUUUCUAGUAAUUAUACCAUGUGUGAAGAGCAGUUUGACUUCCAUUCCUGCUGGACCAGAACUGAAGAAACCACAAGAGUCCAUAACACUUUCUUGUAAAGGAACAGGAUUUACUUUUGGUGAUUAUGGCAUGCAUUGGAUACGCCAGGGUGCAGGGAAGCCCCUAGAAUGGCUUGGUGCUAUCUGGUAUGAUGCAAGUCGUACCGAAUAUGCAACUUCAGUAAAAGGAAGAUUUACAAUCACGAGAGACAAUUCAAAAAGUUUAGUGUUUCUAGAAAUGACUAAAUUAACACCAGAGGACACUGCUACAUAUUACUGUGCCAGAGCAGCACAGCUGUCAGGACAAAUGAAGACAUAA